rnacentral:rRNA from 1 species
UACGUAGGGUGCGAGCGUUAAUCGGAAUUACUGGGCGUAAAGCGUGCGCAGGCGGUUUUGUAAGCCAGAUGUGAAAGCCCCGGGCUCAACCUGGGAAUGGCAUUUGGGACUGCAAGGCUUGAGUGCGGCAGAGGAGACUGGAAUUCCUGGUGUAGCAGUGAAAUGCGUAGAUAUCAGGAGGAACACCGGUGGCGAAGGCGGGAUCUCUGGGCCAUUACUGACGCUGAGGAGCGAAAGCGUGGGGAGCGAACAGGA